rnacentral:rRNA from 1 species
CACGCCGUAAACGAUGCUGACUAGCUAUAGGGAGUAUCGACCCUUCUUGUAGUGAAGCUAACGCGUUAAGUCAGCCGCCUGGGGAGUACGGUCGCAAGACUAAAACUCAAAGGAAUAGACGGGGGCUCGCACAAGCGGUGGAACAUGAGGUUUAAUUCGACGAUAAGCGAAAAACCUUACCAGGGUUCACCCUAUUAGAACCCCGCGGAAACGUGGGGGUGCCUUCGGGAGCUAAUAGGUCGGUGA